AUCCUGGUUGUCAACAGCAGGGAGAGCAGGCCAGGAGGGCAGCAGUGAGCACUGCAUCAGCAUCACAGGGACCGGACUCUUCUCUGCCGCCGCAGACCAAGGAAAAAUCAUUACCAUGAGAAUUGCAGUCAUUUGCUGCUGCCUCUUGGGCAUUGCCUCCGCCCUUCCAGUUAAACAGACCAAUUCUGGCAGCUCUGAGGAAAAGCAGCUUAACAACAAAUACCCAGAUGCUGUAGCCACAUGGCUAAAGCCUGACCCAUCUCAGAAGCAGACUUUCCUAACACCACAGAAUUCUGUGUCCUCUGAGGAAACUGAUGACAA